AUUGAACGCUGGCGGCAGGCUUAACACAUGCAAGUCGAGCGGAGUGAUGGUGCUUGCACUAUCACUUAGCGGCGGACGGGUGAGUAAUGCUUAGGAAUCUGCCUAUUAGUGGGGGACAACAUCUCGAAAGGGAUGCUAAUACCGCAUACGUCCUACGGGAGAAGGCAGGGGAUCACUUGUGACCUUGAGCUAAUAGAUGAGCCUAAGUCGGAUUAGCUAGUUGGUGGGGUAAAGGCCUACCAAGGCGACGAUCUGUAGCGGGUCUGAGAGGAUGAUCCGCCACACUGGGACUGAGACACGGCCCAGACUCCUACGGGAGGCAGCAGUGGGGAAUAUUGGACAAUGGGGGGAACCCUGAUCCAGCCAUGCCGCGUGUGUGAAGAAGGCCUUAUGGUUGUAAAGCACUUUAAGCGAGGAGGAGGCUCUUUUGGUUAAUACCCAAGAUGAGUGGACGUUACUCGCAGAAUAAGCACCGGCUAACUCUGUGCCAGCCGCCGCAGUAAGAC
rnacentral:rRNA from 1 species